CGGGACGUGGCGCAGCUUGGUAGCGCAAUUGACUGGGGGUCAAGGGGUCGCAGGUUCAAAUCCUGUCGUCCCGA
rnacentral:tRNA from 1 species